UUCAAAUCGAAAGUGAUCAUCCCUAAAAAAAAAAAGGAAAAAAAGAAAAGAAAGCGAUCAUCCCUAUGCCCUACUCACUACGAAGGACAGAGCUCUUGAUGUGGGCACUCUGAAGGGAGCAUUACAUUACAGUUUGAAUGUAGCCGUCACUAAAAGUCUUGUAAAAGUAGGUCCUCCUGGUGGCGCGGUUACUCACCUCAAUCCGGGUGGCGGAGGACAAGUCCCAGUUGCCUCCAAUUCUGAGACUGUCAAUCUGCGCAUUUUAUCAUGUGGCUCGUUAUGCAUGACACUGCGGAGACUCGCAGCAUGUGGAGACUCAUGCUACUCUCUGCGAUCCAUGCGCAACUUACCAUGCGCCCCAUUGAGAGCGAGAACCACUAAUCGUGACCACAAGGAGGUUACCCAUGUGACUCUACCCUCCCUAGCAACAGGGCCAAUUUGGUUGCUUAGGAGACCUGGCUGGGGUCACUCAGCACACCCUGGAUUCUAAUUCGCGACUCCAGGGGUGGUAGUCAGCGUCAAUACUCGAUGAGCUACCCAAAAAUCACAUAAAGGUAGCAUAAAAGUAAUCCAUAAGACUCCAGUGGUUAAAUCCAUGUCUUCAGAAGCGAUAUGAUAGGUGUGGGAGAGAAACAGAUAAAUUUUUUCUUUCUAUAAAUCUCCACUUUCCCUUUCACAUUCUGAACAUGAAAGUGGAGAUUUAUAGUAAAAAGGGAUUUAAAUACUUAUAUUUUUCUCACCCAAAGUGAUUGAAUCACUUCAGAAGACAUAUAUUACACCACUGGGGUCACAUGGAUAAUUUCAUGCUGCCUUUAUGUCAUUUUUGGAUCUUCAAAGGUCUGGUUACCAUUCACUUGCAUUGAAAGAAUCUAUGGAGCUGAGAUAUUCUUCUAAAAAUCUUUGUGUUCAGCAGAAGAAAGUCAUACACAUCUUAGAUGACAUGAGGCCCUUCAGAGGACCUGCUAGCUGACAGGUAGCCCUGCAUUGGUUCUCUUUUCAUGGAUAGAGGCCAGCAUGUCUGUGACCAGCUCUGACAGACUGUAUGCAGGCUUCCAGCCCCAAUCCUGACGUGCAUUAGAG